GCAAACUUGGUCAUUUAGAGGAAGUAAAAGUCGUAACAAGGUUUCCGUAGGUGAACCUGCGGAAGGAUCAUUACAAGGAAAUCCGCCGGCCGCCCUCGGGCGGGACCCCCGGCGGAUCCCUCACCACUGUGAACGCAAACUUCGUUGCCUCGGCGGACCGGCCUACCCGGCCGCCGCCGACGGUCAUACCAAACCAAUUCGUCUACGAGCGUCUUAUGAAAACUCAAUUGAAUACAACUUUCAACAAUGGAUCUCUUGGCUCUGGCAUCGAUGAAGAACGCAGC
rnacentral:misc_RNA from 1 species